rnacentral:rRNA from 1 species
CGNNGGGGUGNNUNAAUAGAGAACGAAUGAGUAACACGUGGGCAAUCUGCCCUUCACUCUGGGACAAGCCCUGGAAACGGGGUCUAAUACCGGAUACGACACACGACCGCAUGGUCUGUGUGUGGAAAGCUCCGGCGGUGAAGGAUGAGCCCGCGGCCUAUCAGCUUGUUGGUGGGGUGAUGGCCUACCAAGGCGACGACGGGUAGCCGGCCUGAGAGGGCGACCGGCCACACUGGGACUGAGACACGGCCCAGACUCCUACGGGAGGCAGCAGUGGGGAAUAUUGCACAAUGGGCGAAAGCCUGAUGCAGCGACGCCGCGUGAGGGAUGACGGCCUUCGGGUUGUAAACCUCUUUCAGCAGGGAAGAAGCGAAAGUGACGGUACCUGCAGAAGAAGCGCCGGCUAACUACGUGCCAGCAGCCGCGGUAAUACGUAGGGCGCAAGCGUUGUCCGGAAUUAUUGGGCGUAAAGAGCUCGUAGGCGGCUUGUCACGUCGGAUGUGAAAGCCCGGGGCUUAACCCCGGGUCUGCAUUCGAUACGGGCAGGCUAGAGUUCGGUAGGGGAGAUCGGAAUUCCUGGUGUAGCGGUGAAAUGCGCAGAUAUCANGANGAACACCGGUGGCGAAAGGCGAUCUCUGGGCCGAUACUGACNCUGAGNAGCGAAAGCGUGGGGAGCGAANANNAUUAGAUACCCUGGUAGNCCNCNNCGUAACGUUGG